GUAUUUUGGGAAUAAAACCUCGCAUUAUCCAAUUAAAACGUCUGUUGCGACCACCGGCUUAACUUAGAACAAUUAUAAAGACUUCCAGAACAAACAAAAGUAAUAAAUUGUCGUAAAGCGACAAUUAUGCAAACUUUUUACCCUGUGGGAUAAUUACCAAAAAGAUGAUCACAAGUAACGUAAGGCUAUGUCUUUCAGGUACAAAACAACUGACGAAAGGUGAUAAAAGUAUUAAGUAGAGGCAUCUGGAUGCUGGGAAAACAAAUUGGAAAUUUCGUAGGGCAGUUUAACAUUAUUUAAUGGGAACGAAAAUAGAAAAUAAAAUAUUGCAAAAAGAAUGGCGUGGGUCUUACUAAAAGACGCAAAUUAGGGAUAUAAGGCAAUUAAACUGCAAAUUUAAUGCGAAUAAAAACAAUAGACAACGGCUUAGCAAGUGAAUUUACAAUACUCGGAUUUAGAUUUUGCGCGAAAAAGUAAAUGCAUUGGUCAACAGGAAUGCAACCAAUGCAAAAAGAAUUGUCGCAACCUUGUUAAAAAAACAGAAAUGUUUGUUAGACAGUUACAAAGAUAGCGAUAAUCGAGACCAAAGUGUUCCUAAAAAUUCCGAUCGGAAAGUCAGUAAAUCUCGCAUAAGGUGGUGCAACUUUGCUGCAUACAAGAAACUAGCAGCCCCUGGCCAU